rnacentral:tRNA from 1 species
GCCUUCUUAGUUCAGUGGUUAGAAUUUUUCACUAGUACUCGUGAUCACCAUAUCACUACUACGAUGAAAGGGUCACCCGUUCAAUUCGGGUAGAAGGCA